AUUGAACGCUGGCGGCAGGCCUAACACAUGCAAGUCGAGCGAGCGGCGGACGGGUGAGUAAUGUACGGGGACUGCCCGAUAGAGGGGGAUAACUACUGGAAACGGUGGCUAAUACCGCAUACUAUCGGAUAACCCAUAUGGGAUUAGCUAGUAGGUGGGGUAAAGGAUCACCUAGGCGACGAUCUCUAGCUGGUCUGAGAGGAUGAUCAGCAACACUGGGACGGAGCCACGGCCCAGACUCCUACGGAGGCAGCAGGGGGGAAUAUUGCACAAUGGGGGAGAUACUGAUGCAGCCAUGACGCGUGUAUGAAGAAGGCCUUAGGGUUUUGAAGUACAUUCAGCUGGGAGGCGUUACCCGCAGAAGAGGCACCGGCUAACACCGUGCCAGCAGCCGCGGUAAUUC
rnacentral:rRNA from 1 species